rnacentral:rRNA from 1 species
AGUGAACGCUGGCGGCGUGCUUAACACAUGCAAGUCGAACGAGAACGGAUUAUAGCAUGCUAUAAUUGUCAGCUAAGUGGCGCACGGGUGAGUAAUGUAUAGGUAAUAUGCCUCUUACUAAGGGAUAACAAAUGGAAACGUUUGCUAAUACCUUAUACUCCUUAUUAACAUAAGUUAAUAAGGGAAAGAUUUAUUGGUAAGAGAUUAGCCUGUAUUGUAUCAGUUAGUUGGUGGGGUAAUGGCUUACCAAGACUAUGACACAUAACUGGUUUAAGAGGAUGAUCAGUCACACUGGAACUGAGACACGGUCCAGACUCCUACGGGAGGCAGCAGUGGGGAAUAUUGCACAAUGGACGAAAGUCUGAUGCAGCAACGCCGCGUGGAGGAUGACACAUUUCGGUGCGUAAACUCCUUUUAUAUGAGAAGAUAAUGACGGUAUUAUAUGAAUAAGCACCGGCUAACUCCGUGCCAGCCGCCGCCGUAA